CGCCCCCGGACACGCCCCGGACACGCCCCCUGCCCGCUGCUAAGCGCACCUGAGAGGGGGUUUCGGAGACUGGUGGCGGCGGGGCUACGAGGGCAGAAGGGGGCUUCCUGGGAGGCCCACCUGGAGGCGGUUCCGCGGCGGGGACUCGGUCAAUCCGCUAACCAAUCGAUUAAUCAAUUGGUGGAGCAGUCAGAUGGAAAAUGGAGGCCCUGAGACUGGAAGCCCCUGGAGGUCACCGACGGACCUGGGAGGGUCACUGGCCAUUUAACAAGCUCAACAGAAUUUCCUUGCUCGGGCAUGCUUUCUGUGAGCCGGAACCUGGACUAGAGAUGACCCCGCCCUUGACAGCACCUGACCCCCAGAAACAGUCCUGGGCAUCAGCUCCUCCUUGCCCAGUGCCUCCCUCCUGAAGCUGGCUGGUGGUUGUACUGGAAGAUGGUGAAAGGGCUGGUGGAACAUUCCCCCAGGAAGGUCAGAUGAAGACAGUGGGGCUGGGAGACGUAAACCACCCAAGAUUCUCUAGCUACCAGGAGGAACGGCUGGGCUUUGAGCAGUCUCUGGGGCCCAGGCCCCAUGCACCUCACCAACCUCAGGUCUCCCAUCUGUACAAUGGAUCUGGCCUCCAGAGUACCAGGCACAGAUAUGAUGAGAUGAAGCUGGGUCUGUCUGUGGCUGCUGCCACCCUCCAGGGACACCUGCCAGCCAGGGUUAUCUUCCUUAGCAGGCUGGGCCUGGUCGCACCAGCUCAGCUGCUGUGUGUCACCCAGCCUGGCCUGUUGUGAUCACCUCGAACCUGCAGCUGGGUGUCCUCACUGCAACCAGCUGCUCACAGCCUGAAUCACUUCGUCUUCGCGCAGAACAUUCACUGGCUCCCCAUCGCCACUCCCGGGACAUAAAAACUCCAGCUAAUUUUCAAAGCUCUUCACCUGUCUGUCUGGAUUUUCUGGAGAGGCUGCCUUGACUAGUGGCCCAAAAAGGCCUUCAAGGAGGACUAGGUUUCCUUCCAGCUGGCCCCUCACUCACUGCUCCCCAUAUGUCUCCCCACAGGGAGCUGGGUGACAAGGUGGGUCACUCACCUCCAAGAGCCACUAGUUCCCUUGGCUGCAAAGUGGCACUCAUUAUACCAGCCCCCAUGGUGGUGGUCCUGUUCCCGGGAGCUGUGGGGGGCAGGGGGACACUGGGUGUGUCAGGCAUGUGCUAGGCACUUGAGGAGGGGCCACCCGAGCCCCGUGGCCCACUCGGUCUAGCCCACAGCCCUGCACGACGACUCUGGAGUGAGGCCAGAAUCCUUGUCUUCUCAGGAUUCCCGUCGUUCCAGGCUGAAUAUUACCCUGAUUGUGUUGUAGGGAAGGGAAGAGAACAUUUGUUCUUUUUUAAAAAAAUAACAUUUUUCUCCAUUUACAAAAGUAAUACAUGUUAAUUGUGGAUAAUUUUGAAAUUAAGAUAAACCAAAGAGAAAAUUUUAAAUUAUCUAUAAUUCAUCACCCAUCUAGAAGCACUUUGAGCACUUGAGCUCCUAGCCUCCAGACUCGGUAAUGAAUGUGGAGCGUGGGCUCUGCUUUGAGCCCAGCAUGGGGAUCACAGAACACACUCUGUUUUGCAACCCAGUUUUUCCAUCCACCAGCAGGACCCAGACAUCUACACCACCCAGAGCCUCUGCCCCACCAGUACUGAGGGUCCUCAGAGACCAGCAGCUGUCAGCAGUGCAGAAUCUCAGCCCCAAUCCCUAGAACAUGCAUUUCCCCAGCAUUCCCAGGGGGCUUCUCAGCACAGUACCAUUUGGGGGAGCAGUCCCAAAGCCCCCCUUUCCACGAGCAGCCCCAUGCCCCAUUGUGGAGCUACACUCACCCUCACUAAGCCAGUCCUCUAUUACUGAACAAGGAGGUGGUUUCCAACUUAUGAUGUCGUAAAUAACACCACAAUGAAUAGCAUCGUGAAUAGCUAAAACCCUGAGCACAUCACAGAUAUUUUCCUGGAGUGAAUAUUAAGGAGCUUCUCUGAACUUAGCUUCCCCCACAUUCACUCCCUUUCUCACCCAGAACAUUCUAGGGGAGGGGGGUGUAAGGACCAUCAACAUCCUUGUUCUGCAGAUGAGAUCAGGCAAAUAAAGGAUGGGAAAACCCAGCUGGGCCUGACUCAAAUCUUCCCUCUGAACCAAAUGGCUUUUGGUUCACGUCCAGGAGACCCAGCCAUGAACGUGCCUGUUGGAAACGUAAUGACAACCCUGAGGCUUCCAUGGUGGGAUGGGCAGCACUUAUAUCUGCUUUAAAAAGAUAAAGAGGAAGCAAGCCAAAGAAAGGGAACCCAGAGGAGGCAAAUACCGACCUCAACCUCAGUCCCACCCCCCCCCCCCAGCUCCCCCAGUACCACCGAGACCCCAGGGCUCUUCAGCCUCUCAGAAGAUCCAGAGAGGCAUCUUCUCCAUGUAGCAGCAGAAACCACAGCAAGAACAAGGUCAAGAGGAAGUGCCAGCUUUGGACCAAGAGAUUUCAUCCCUCCUUCCUGCCCCCACCCCACUUUAUCUUCACCGAAUUCCUGUCUACCCUUCAAAGCCUAGCUCCAAUGGCCACUCCUCCAGGCAGCCCUGGCCCUGUCCUAGCUGUGCUAACCACCCAAGGAUACAGAUGCUGUCCCAGCCCUCGUAGGGUGCCGGUCUGGCAGGAGUCUCGUGAGGCCAUCAAUCAAAUAACCAUCACAAACCAUCAGAAGAGGUGGACACCAUGCUCUAAAGCAAGAAGUGCCUGAGAGAGCCUCAGGAUACAGAAAAACCAGGGACAAAUGUAAGCAGGUGCUCAGAGGGCAGGGACCCGAUGAUUCUCUCUCGAUGAUUCUCUCCCUUAGAGCCACUUGGUGCCUAGAGCAAAUUAGGUGCUCCAGAAGUGUGUUUGAUUUCACAGCCUGCUGAUUUGAGGGCAUAGGAAUGAGGUCUCCGAGUUGGAAGGGCUGCUGGGGAGGUCAGCUUUGCCAAGCAGAGGGAGGAAGGGAUAGGGGCCUGGGGCCUUUCCCCCACUCCUGCAUCUUUGCAAAACUCUCUUCUGGGUUAUUGGUUGAUUUAUCCUGACAUCCACUAUGAAGCCAAGCAGGGAAGGCACUUUUUUUGGAAUA